rnacentral:lncRNA from 1 species
CAAUACACACAACUGAUCCUUUAUCUCUGUUGCCUGAAGCCCUAGUCCACCAUAUCAUAUUCUUUCUACAGCUAAGAGGUGGAUCGUAUCUCCAUUUUAUCCAAGUCAUGGCACCAAUUCUGGAAUUCCCUCCCAACCCAAAUUUCCGAUUCUCCUACGGCGGAAGGGAGGAUUCUUAUGCUACUGACAAGUUCAUCAAAUUCGUCGAUGAUUCUUUGCACAAUCUCCGCCGUUGCCACCUAGCAAAAGUCAAAGCGUUCUCCUUAUUUUUACCCUAUUAUCAACAACAACUGUAUUCUUGCAUGGAUGAUUGGAUCGGAUUAGUCACCGAGAAUUACAUUGAAGAGAUAAAUAUUUCCAUCUUGCCCUUCGCUUGAGCAAUUUUCUCUUUUAUCAUCUCGAAGUGUGAAUCUUUGUAUUCCAAAUCUUCCCAAGCUCAAGAAGGUAGAAGCAGAUAUAUUGGGUAAAAUUCAGAUUGAAGCAGUGAAUCUUCAAGUUCUUCAUUGUGUAUGCUUUCAAAAUGAAUUAGAGCUGAAUGGACUUCACUGUAAUAAUCUAGAGAAGUUGAGACUAUCUGCCCCCAUUACGAAGAAAUGGAUUCAGGAACUUUUUUAUAAAUUCCAUUUUCUUGAGAAAUUACACUUGCAUUCUUUUCAAUCCUGCAUAAGGGUUUUUAUUUCAAGCCAUAAACUUAAGAGAUUAUGCCGU